CCUGUUUACCCAACUCAACUCUGCAUGGCCGUCAACGUACUCUUUCUCAAAUUCUUCAUCAUUACACACAUUUUCUCUCUCCUCAUUAUAAUACACCAUGAAUUUCCCUCUCGUAACCCCGUCAGUACUGCCCACCGUAGAAGCUAACGGAGCCGUCGUUGUGGCCUUCACUCCUUCAAUCGGAUUCCAAGUCAAAUCCGAUUCUACUUCCAGUAACUCAGGCUGCAAUGGCGGCGACACCAUUUUUGUCGAAUCCGGGUUGCAGAAGAGAGAGAAAGCAAGAGAGAAUGUGGGCCGUUGGAUCAGAAAGUGGGGAGGGGAAUCUUUGUAUAAGAUGCCUAGAAUAAUCGAGAGGACGAUGCUAAUGGGUCUGGAUAGAUCCGUUAUUUAUUCUGGAAUUUUAUGCAGU
rnacentral:lncRNA from 1 species